rnacentral:rRNA from 1 species
UAGGGAAUCUUCGGCAAUGGACGAAAGUCUGACCGAGCAACGCCGCGUGAGUGAAGAAGGUUUUCGGAUCGUAAAACUCUGUUGUUAGAGAAGAACAAGGACGUUAGUAACUGAACGUCCCCUGACGGUAUCUAACCAGAAAGCCACGGCUAACUACGUGCCAGCAGCCGCGGUAAUACGUAGGUGGCAAGCGUUGUCCGGAUUUAUUGGGCGUAAAGCGAGCGCAGGCGGUUUCUUAAGUCUGAUGUGAAAGCCCCCGGCUCAACCGGGGAGGGUCAUUGGAAACUGGGGGACUUGAGUGCAGAAGAGGAGAUUGGAAUUCCAUGUGUAGCGGUGAAAUGCGUAGAUAUAUGGAGGAACACCAGUGGCGAAGGCGGCUCUCUGGUCUGUAACUGACGCUGAGGCUCGAAAGCGUGGGGAGCAAACAGG